rnacentral:rRNA from 1 species
AGGACGAACGCUGGCGGCGUGCUUAACACAUGCAAGUCGAACGGAAAGGCCCUGCUUUUGUGGGGUGCUCGAGUGGCGAACGGGUGAGUAACACGUGAGUAACCUGCCCUUGACUUUGGGAUAACUUCAGGAAACUGGGGCUAAUACCGGAUAGGAGCUCCUGCUGCAUGGUGGGGGUUGAAAGUUUCGGCGGUUGGGGAUGGACUCGCGGCUUAUCAGCUUGUUGGUGGGGUAGUGGCUUACCAAGGCUUUGACGGGUAGCCGGCCUGAGAGGGUGACCGGCCACAUUGGGACUGAGAUACGGCCCAGACUCCGUACGGGAGGCAGCAGUGGGGAAUAGUUGCACAAGUGGGCGGAAGCCUGAUGCAGCAACGCCGCGUGCGGGAGUGACCGGCCGUUCGGGUUACGUAAACCGUCGUUUCCGCCGUUGUAGACGAACGCGUGAGUAG